rnacentral:lncRNA from 1 species
UUACUUCAAAGUACUUCUGGUCUGGUCCCAUGAAUUAAACAUACAUUAGUGACAGGAGCAUGUUAGGUGCACUCAUAGAGUGCAUCUUCUGACUUAGUUUCAUCCAAAAGGAAACCAGUGCUGGAUACUGAAACUGGUCCAUGAAGCAAACCAAGCUCAGUAGUUGGAGGUGGUUAGGAGAUUCACUUCAAAAGUACACACCCAAACGAAAACUCUAAAGGAGAUACAGACAGCGUAAGAACGAGAAGAGGCUGUGAUCUAAAACACAGCACUGGUGGUCCCCUGCUCAUCAUCCUGGUUGUUCGUAUUCAAGCCAAAGGAGACUAGUUCUUCUCAUUUACUGUAAAGGACAAAUGGGCUGGGAAUUCAGCUAAUGUUUGAGAAGGAAACACCACUUUCUGAGCUAGUCAUAUAGAAACCCUCUCCAGUCCGUGGAGAGAAGGGAGCACUUUAAAGGUGUGAUUCAUCUCUCCCUAAGGUGGAAUAAAACAGGUGAAAUCAAUCAUACCCUGGAAGAGCCUAUUUCUGCCUGGUGGCACCAAAGGAAGUCUAGACAAAUGUCUCGGGAGAGCUGAAUCCCACCUUUGCUAGGUAAGUCAGAGCUCUGAAGUUGUUUCUGUAGAUAGGCCCUUCUCUAAGUUAAGGACCACAGUGUGUACAUUCAUUGUUCAAAAUGAGCCCUGCAUGAGUAUUCAUCUCAUUCAGCCACUGGGAAAUCGUCCCCUGAGAAUUCAUUCUUCUUGACUAAGUACUAGGUCGGGGAUUGUGAUGAGGAGGUGAAAGCAGUGCUGCAGAAGUGUUCUUUGUAAACAUAAAUAGGUUUUGAGAUGGCAAGGUGCCAUGCUGAAAAAGCAUCGUUUGUAUAAGACCACUAAAACUUUGUUUUAAACGAUGCUUUGUUUUUCCCACAGAUGUCGGUUUCACCAGCCCAAAGGAGCACCAGGUAGUAAUGAAUCUUGCCCUGAAAUUAUCUCAAGCCAGCACAAUCAAGCUACAAAACACAGUCUAGGAGAUGACAAACGUGACUGAAAGACUGAAG